rnacentral:rRNA from 1 species
GGAAAAGAAACCAACAGGGAUUGCCUCAGUAACGGCGAGUGAAGCGGCAAAAGCUCAAAUUUUAAAGCUGACAUCUUCGGUGUCCGCGUUGUAAUUUUGUGAGGCAUCUCCGGGUAGGGCGCCGGCCUAAGUUCCUUGGAACAGGACGUCACAGAGGGUGAGAAUCCCGUGCUUGGCUGGCUGUCCCCGUCCAUGUGAGGUGUCUUCGACGAGUCGAGUUGUUUGGGAAUGCAGCUCAAAAUGGGUGGUAAAUUUCAUCUAAAGCUAAAUAUUGGUGGGAGACCGAUAGCGCACAAGUAGAGUGAUCGAAAGAUGAAAAGCACUUUGAAAAUAGAGUUAAAAAGUACGUGAAAUUGUUGAAAGGGAAGCGCUUGAGACCAGACUUCGGUAAGGGGUGAUCAGCCGUCCUUCUGGGCGGUGCACUUGCCCCCCUCCGGGCCAGCAUCGGUUGAGGCGGCGGGAUAAAGGUCCCGGGAAUGUGGCUCCUUCACGGGAGUGUUAUAGCCCGGGUGAAUGCCGCCAGCUUCGACCGAGGACCGCACCCGCAAGGGUUA